rnacentral:rRNA from 1 species
CCUACGGGAGGCAGCAGUGAGGAAUAUUGGUCAAUGGACGAGAGUCUGAACCAGCCAAGUAGCGUGAAGGAUGACUGCCCUAUGGGUUGUAAACUUCUUUUAUAUGGGAAUAAAAUGUUCCACGUGUGGGAUUUUGUAUGUACCAUAUGAAUAAGGAUCGGCUAACUCCGUGCCAGCAGCCGCGGUAAUACGGAGGAUCCGAGCGUUAUCCGGAUUUAUUGGGUUUAAAGGGAGCGUAGGUGGAUUGUUAAGUCAGUUGUGAAAGUUUGCGGCUCAACCGUAAAAUUGCAGUUGAAACUGGCAGUCGUGAGUACAGUAGAGGUAGGCGGAAUGCGUGGUGUAGCGGUGAAAUGCUUAGAUAUCACGAAGAACUCCGAUUGCGAAGGCAGCUCACUGGACUGCAACUGACACUGAGGCUCGAAAGUGUGGGUAUCAAACAGGAUUAGAUACCCGAGUAGUC